rnacentral:rRNA from 1 species
GACGAACGCUGGCGGCGUGCCUAAUACAUGCAAGUUGAGCGCUGAAGGUUGGUACUUGUACCAACUGGAUGAGCAGCGAACGGGUGAGUAACGCGUGGGGAAUCUGCCUUUGAGCGGGGGACAACAUUUGGAAACGAAUGCUAAUACCGCAUAAAAACUUUAAACACAAGUUUUAAGUUUGAAAGAUGCAAUUGCAUCACUCAAAGAUGAUCCCGCGUUGUAUUAGCUAGUUGGUGAGGUAAAGGCUCACCAAGGCGAUGAUACAUAGCCGACCUGAGAGGGUGAUCGGCCACAUUGGGACUGAGACACGGCCCAAACUCCUACGGGAGGCAGCAGUAGGGAAUCUUCGGCAAUGGACGAAAGUCUGACCGAGCAACGCCGCGUGAGUGAAGAAGGUUUUCGGAUCGUAAAACUCUGUUGGUAGAGAAGAACGUUGGUGAGAGUGGAAAGCUCAUCAAGUGACGUAACUAC